UACGUAGGGCGCAAGCGUUGUCCGGAAUUAUUGGGCGUAAAGAGCUCGUAGGCGGUUUGUUGCGUCGGCUGUGAAAUCCCGGGGCUCAACCUCGGGUCUGCAGUCGAUACGAGCAAACUAGAGUGUUGCAGGGGAGACUGGAAUUCCUGGUGUAGCGGUGAAAUGCGCAGAUAUCAGGAGGAACACCGGUGGCGAAGGCGGGUCUCUGGGCAACAACUGACGCUGAGGAGCGAAAGCGUGGGGAGCGAACAGG
rnacentral:rRNA from 1 species